GAAAAAUUAAAUGCAUCAGAUACUGAAAUGCAAGCUGAUUAAUUACACAGUUUGAGUCAGACUAGAAAUGCUAAAGUAAACUAAAGAAAGUAAGAAAGCUGCAAGACUAUGGAGUAAUAUUAUAAUAAGUAAACAAACUACAGUGUGCCUAGAAUGCACGCAUACAGCUUAUCAGAUGUCAGCCUGCUCUAACAUAACUUCCAUAGUUGAGUGAUCUUUCUCUCACAUCUUCCUUUAAAUUAAUACCUGGGGAGAACCUUUUUCAUCUUGUCCUUUGUCUUUAAAUUUUAAUAUAAUGCUCCAUACACAGUCUCGCUAUCAUUUACCAAAAAAAGACUCUGGCUGAAACUGCCUAUAGACACCUCACUCUUGAUCUUGCAAUCACUUAUUUUGGACUCAUGGAGUAAGGUCAGCUUGUAGUCACCCCUGAGUGAUAUGGAAAGGUCACGCUGUAAGAACAGGGGUUUUAUGUUUCUAGAUUUUUCACAGAAGCUAUGCAAGGCUUUGCACAGCGCCCUAAGUGCUCAGAAGGUAUGAUAGUAGGGGAUUCAAUUUAUGCUAUAAGUGAAAUCUGAGAUUGUUUUCAGAAGAACAGAUAAUGCAGAGCCUGUUGAAUGCUGUGCUGUUUGAUAUCAGGGCACUGGCAGUUCUUUAUCUGCAGCACGGAACUCAUUAGGUCCACUGAAGGCAGAAGAGACAUUAAGUGUCAGGAAGAAUUCUUGCCGCUGGAUUUCUGCAGAGUAUGGCAUAAAUGAAGAGGAGGUCUCACCAGCUCUCAGAAGAGGUAACAGUUUAGAGGCAGCCACCAAGUUAGUUAUUCCAUACAUACAGUCAUCACAGCAGAAACAUCUUCCAAGCACACAGUAAUUGCAGGCAGAUCCCUGCGAAUACUUCUAAGCAAAAGAGAGUGCAGGCACUCAACUAAACCAAAGCCUGACUUUUCCACUGAAACUCAGCCCUGUCAAAGCAGACUUCCUUGUCCUUGUAUUUAAAGGCAAUUUACCACUAUAGCAAUACAAAAUUUUGGACUUUCCACCCUCCAUAACAUUCACAAAAGAAACUUCCAACAUCUCAGGAUACUGGAUUCAUUAGUAUAAAGUACUGCUCUUAAGGAGUUUACAAUCUACUGCUCUCUGUUCUCAAAAACAGAACAAAAAUUACUUCAAUUAGUGGGCUGAUGUGCUAUAAAACUACUGUGACAAAAAUCAGACUCUCUCCCUUUACUUUGAGACCAUGAAGAGAAAAUUGAAGCUGUCAGCCUCAACAGGCCACCAAGGACUUCUGUGAAGCAAGGCUGAUUUGGUUAACUGCUCCUCUAAUACACAUAGUGGAUACUGCAGAGGGUUUCACAAACAGUCUAAGCAGAGCAGCGUAGCUACAACAUCACGUGCACAAAAACAACGUCUGCAGAUGCCACAUGUCUGAGUGCAGCCUGCACAGCUCAGAUGCUGCACACCCAACACUUCUAUCACGUAGAUGAUGGAGAGCAGGACGCCAGCACUGGGCACAUUCAGAUUUCUGGAUACCAACAGCCUGGCUAGAGUUACAGCACUGAUGCCUCUGCCAGACCUUUGAGAAAUCAAGGGCAAACAUACCCUGCCUUCCAAUUUCCAUCAGAGGAUUUCCAGGCAGCAAGAGGAGAAAAGCCCAGAAAUACUCAGACACAUCUGUUUACAGAUGCUACAAGGCACUGAGCCCCACACUUGCUUCUUCAGCAUGGAGAAAUGGACAAAUUCUAUUGCCAUUCUUUAUUAUUUUUACUUUUCAAGUGGUUGCCAUUUGCUGUAGCCAAAAAGUAGGAAACCCAGCAAUUAAAUGAUCGAGGCAGAAUCUCAGAACAUCAAAAUGACUGACAAAAAUGAAACACCUUCCUUAUUUUCUUGCCAUUAAAAAAAAAAAAAAAAAAAAAAGUUACUGUGCUAUUUGAACUUUGCUUUGUUGUGCAUUUUGGUCAACUUUUGUCUUGCUAGAUUCAGUCCAGCCACCAAAUCUAUUUCAGGAACUUUCACUCAGAAAAAUGUCUUUAACCGUAGGAAAAAAUAACCAGGGGGCAGCUCUGGUACAUUGAGCUCUACUAUCCAUCAUCUCACUUCUAAAACAAACAAAAAAACCCACUGAAAUAUUAAUUUAGCUUCUUCUCUACUAAUCUGACACCACAAUUUCCUCUGUGCUGUCUGUAUAUACUGCGUAUUUCUGCACUAUAAAUUAUGCCCCUGCUUGGGUCUCCCAUUACACACCAAAUAUGCUGCAACUUAUUCAUCAGAAUGUCAACUGCAUGACUCAUGGCAUUCCAGUACUUCAACCACGAUGCGAAUUUACUUCUGGUACAUGGUUUAACACCAUCAUUUAAUUCUACCGAGAUGUCAAAACGUAACGGCAGAGUGAUUCUGAGUGCUCUGUAAACAAGUUGCAAACAACACAUUGUUUUACACACAACCACGGGUGUAAUCUGCAGGGACAUUGGGUCUGUAAUGUGAACUUAUGCCUUUAAAGACCAAUAGUUGCCCAAAGCACUGAAGGAGAAAACUGUAUCAGUUUUCACAGAUCUCAUUUUCUGCUUUCUUCUUCCCAUUUUCACCAUCGCGGUUCCCACAAUAACCAACUGUGAGGUAACAAUUGCUGCAAAAAUGUGGAAGACUGUCAAGGAAAAAAGCAGAAAAUCUACACUAUUAAAGUGGAAACGAAGAGCAGCCAAAGAAAGACAGAUCAAACUCUCCUUCUGACUUGUUACAUAAGACUUUAGGUUCUAAAAAGCAGCAUAAAUUCACCUGCACACCAAAGUAUAUGAGGGUGGCAUAAUGUAAACAAAGUGGUCAGAACCACUGGUAUCCCUUUCUGACUGUAUAAAGGAUUCACAAAUGCCAACUGUUACAGUGUAGAAGUGAGCCGAAGCCAAAGCAGAACUGCCAGUUUUAUCUGAGCAAACAUAAAGGUAUGCAAAGACAUAGAAUACAAAAGAGAUCAGGUUGUUUCUUCCUAAUGCUGCACUGGGACACAACUGAUCUAUUUUAUUUGGUUGGACCUCAGCAUGGGUUUGGAAGCAAUACAACACAUUCAUAUCUAUGCCAAUAUAUCCUCUUUUUUUUUGCUCCCUCCACCCUUCCCUCCAGGAAAGAUGACCAUAAUAUUAUACUACUGUAGUUCUGAGAUCCUUCUUGACUGAGGAGCAGUAUUUUCCAACCUAACAGUUUACACAGCAAACUGCAUGCAGAAACCCAAAUGCCAUGGAGUCUACCUUGCUUAAAGAAUUUUGUCUUUACAAAUGCGAUGGAUUUUGCAUGAAGAAUAUCAGCAAUUUCAUUCAUUUUUUGCAAGUUGUAGAAAACCCAUCCAAAAUCUAUCACUUUACACUUAAGAAAUCUCAGACAAAGAUAUCAACAGUUAAAGCCCUCCUUCCAUCUCAGCUAAUCUUGUAAUUAGGCAAACCUGGAAUCUUACAUUCUUGAUACUGCAGUAUGUUUCUGUAUAUGAGAAUAAAAGUCUUGAAGCCAGCUCAGAAACUAACUACUUCUCACGUACAGUAUUGUUUUAUUGUAACUUUUGUGCUUGAUGUUUUCUCUUAACAAGUUGGCACAAAGCAGAGAUUUUGCAUUUUAGAGUCAUCCCUCCACCACCACCAUUUAUUUAAUGAGCACUCCUGGGUGCUCUAACCUGAACGAAUGCUCAUUAGAUUUGUGCAUCUGGCCCUAUCAGCAAUCUUCUGUAACUUCUUCCCAUGUAAGCUUAACACAGCCAUGGCCAUACCAUUUGCAGAUGAAUUAAGGUUAACUAGUCUCCCAGUGAACAGGCAAGCAACUUUUAUGGAGAGUAUACAGACCGCCAUCCUAAUGCACAAUAAAAGACUCACAGUGAAGAAGUGCUCACUUCAUGCAUUCAAAUGGAUACAUUAUCUUAUUACAAGCUGCAUCUCAAAUUUCAGCUUGGAGCUCAUUAAUUAUCUUACAUGCCGCAGAAAGGAAGAAGUUAACAGAGAAAAAGCAAAGGCACUAGAGGAUUUCAGAGAGCUCUUGGAAGGAAAUGGGAACUGAUGAGGCAAAUACACAGGGCUAGUUCACGACGAUGACAGAAACCACACAGCAGAAGCUGUCGAUACUGUCAAGAUUGAAGCAGGCUAAGGAGUAGGUCGAUGCCAAGUGAAAGAAGAGGGUGUAUUGAGCACGGCUGGGAUGAAGUUAAUUUUCUUCAUAGCAGGCCAUAGGGCGCUGUGUUUUGAAUUUGUGACCAAGACAGUACUGAUAACAUCAGUGUUUUGGCUGCUGCUGAGCAGAACUUGCAGAGCAUAAAGGCUUUUUCUUUUUCCCACUCUGCUCCCACAGCGAAGACACCAGGGUUGGUUUAGAAGAACAGCAAAUCUAAAUUGAGUAAGAAGAUGCUUCAUGUCUUACAAUGUUGUACGCAGCAAGAAAAACUGAGGGCAGAAGUAGUUAGAGACUGGCUGGGCAUCAGGCUCCUUGUGGGAUGUGAAGAGCAGUGGCCUUUGCAUCACUUUUGUGGGUUUUUUUCCUUCCUCCUUCUCACACUUAGUAAGUGCUGCCUGUAUCUCAACCCACAAAUUCUCUUGCUUCUGCUGCUCUUAUUCUCUCCUUCAUCUCUCUGGUGGGAAGAAUGAGCACAGAACCAUGUGCCGCUUAGCCACUGGCCAAAGUCAACCAACCUCAGGGGGGAAGAUCUAAAAGGAGGGGGAAAAAAAGCCAGAAGAAAACAGAGUGCAGAACCUAUCUGCUCUUCUGAGCUGCUUUUAAUUUGUGAGAAACGUGUCCGUGUGAAAAAACUCACAUGUGGACAGGAAUACUGUCUGCUAGAUUACGUUUUGUAACUCACACAAUGAAACAGAAAGGUAAGAUACCACUGACACCUCAGUGCUGUCACUGCAGCCUCGUGACUUCAAUAAGACUUACAACACACCUGCCCACCGAACAGAAGAUGUGUAACUCACUAAAACAGCACACUGGCACAAAAGCAGUUUUCCUAACAGCUUACUUCAGAAGAAAGAACCAUUUUCUUUCCCCUGCAGAACCAGCUUCUAUACAAAUGUGAAAAUACACACAGUGUGCACAUUACAAGUUAUUAAAGGGAUAUAAGGAAGUUAAGUUUGGUGCACUGCUUUACCUGCAUUUACAGUCAAAGGAAAGGAACCCCUCUAGAGGACAAUUUGAAGUAAUUAUAGUUCCACUUGGAAUCUCACAAUGAAGAAGCCCUUUCCUUCUGUCUCCAUGAAUCACAGAGGUAACCAAAGCAGGACACCACCCUCGCUCAGCUGGCUAUCUGAAAUGUCUAAACUUGGGUGGCUUAACACAACCCAGAUAUCACUGGGGAACCAAGAUAAUUCAGUUUGUAUUUGAGACGACUGCAGUCCUUAGAAUAAUUUUGAAAGUUACGACAUUUUGCUGCCAUUUCCUUAUUUACACUCACAUUUGCCAUAUCUUUUUUUUUCCUGGAUCCUCUCUUUUCAAUCUGUCCUGGGUAAACUGCAUUGUGAGGUCAAACCUAAUACUGUACAGCCAUUUUGUGUAAUUAGCUGUUAAUGAGUUUGAUGUUUUUUCCCCAAAAAUAAAAUAAAAUGGAGACCAGAUCAAUGAA